AUACAGAGGGUGCGAGCGUUAAUCGGAAUUACUGGGCGUAAAGCGCGCGUAGGCGGCUUGGUCAGUCGGAUGUGAAAGCCCUGGGCUCAACCUGGGAAUUGCAUUCGAUACUGCCAAGCUAGAGUAUGGGAGAGGGAAGUGGAAUUUCCGGUGUAGCGGUGAAAUGCGUAGAUAUCGGAAAGAACACCAGUGGCGAAGGCGACUUCCUGGCCCAAUACUGACGCUGAGGUGGGAAAGCGUGGGGAGCGAACAGGAUUAGAAACCCUAGUAGUCC
rnacentral:rRNA from 1 species